CCACGGGUGGCAGCAGUGGGGAAUAUUGCACAAUGGGCGCAAGCCUGAUGCAGCCAUGCCGCGUGUGUGAAGAAGGCCUUCGGGUUGUAAAGCACUUUCAGCGGGGAGGAAGGCGGUGAGGUCAAUAACCUCAUCGAUUGACGUUACCCGCAGAAGAAGCACCGGCUAACUCCGUGCCAGCAGCCGCGGUAAUACGGAGGGUGCAAGCGUUAAUCGGAAUUACUGGGCGUAAAGCGCACGCAGGCGGUCUGUCAAGUCGGAUGUGAAAUCCCCGGGCUCAACCUGGGAACUGCAUUCGAAACUGGCAGGCUAGAGUCUUGUAGAGGGGGGUAGAAUUCCAGGUGUAGCGGUGAAAUGCGUAGAGAUCUGGAGGAAUACCGGUGGCGAAGGCGGCCCCCUGGACAAAGACUGACGCUCAGGUGCGAAAGCGUGGGGGGCAAACAGGAUUAGAUACCCGAGUAGUC
rnacentral:rRNA from 1 species